rnacentral:lncRNA from 10 species
GUGAUGGUGGUGGUGAUUUGUUUUGUCUUGUUUUUAAUGUCUCUGUAGUUAAAAAGUCUUGGAGACACUUGCAAUAAACACCUCAGACAAAGGCCUCUUAUCAGAUCCCAGGACCCAGCAGGGCAUAACCUGUGAGAACAUCCCCGUGAGCACCGAAGGGAGGCAUUGUCUGGUGAGCAGGCAUGCUGUUCACCUGGCACAGCCCAGGCAAAUGCUGGCAGUGGAGGAGACGUGAGGAUGCUCAUGUGAAACUCUCAGGGCAUCCCAACCAGUAAGCAGAGCCUGGGGAGGUGGAGGCCCAAAUCUGAGAAAGGGAAAAGAGGUCUGUCCUCAAGUUCUGGGUCAGAGCCCCUUGAAGACAACAGGAAUCUGGGCAGCUCACUAAAAGAGGGGUUCAGAGGUCCAAGGUCAAAGUUCAGUGAUAAGAACAGAAAGCACCAGAGGGGAAAGGCACUUUCUCAGCAAAGAAAUCUCAAUGCCCAGAAUGCAGGGCUGAAGCUGAUUGAAAACCAACUAUAUCCACCUAGAUUGGACCAGGUCAUUAGGAUGGGUGAUUCUUAUCUGUGGGUAAGAAUGAAGUGACACCCCCACCCCACCCACCAGCUAUGGAAGAAGAAGGAAUUACAGAGACUGGAACCCAGAAUUAAAUGUCUUCCAUGUCAACACUCAUGCCAGGAUUAUACAGACACUGGGACAACCUCCUCCCACAACCAGCCUCCUUCCUUGAGGUGACCUAGGGGAAAUGAAGGCAUUCGUGACAAUACUUUCCAUCACACCAGAAGAGAUGAGAGUUUAAACACCAUUAGACUGAGAAGAGAAACUCGGGGGGCUUUUAACUUCAGUCCAACCAGGGAACCACACUGUGGUAGAAAUAGAACUUGCUUCAAACUUCCUGGCUUUGAAUCCCAGUUCUGCACCUGACUUGUGAGUCAGCACUGACAAUGUAAUGAUUUCAGCCUGUUUUGGCCGAAGACUCCAAAACAGAAAGGAAGGAGUUACAGAGGCCGGAGACCUAGCUUUACUGGAGAAGCUAAAGGCUUGCUAAUUUCGGACACAAGAAGCAGAAAUGGUGAGUUUAUUAUUUGUGGUUUAUCUCCCAGUGCAACUUGGUUUUA